GCUUCCCGCAAGAGGAAAGUGUUCAGGAAGAUUUUGCCAGAUUCCUGCAUCAAUUGUUCAAGGAAUUGCGCAAAGGUAGCAAAAUUGCAGGAAAAAAUGAAGCAAAAGGAAAAACCAUUAGACGAUUAAGACAACAAAAUGCACGUCUAGUUUCAUAUUUCAACGAUAUGGCCGGAAAGAUCGAACAAUUUAAGGUGGAACUAAAGAACUUGACUGAGAAGUCACUGGAAAACAAAUAUGUCACUUGAAACCACAGGAGCAGGAAGUUAUCAGAACAUUCAUUGCGAAGGGACGGACACAGCUUACGUCGGAGAGUGGGAAGGCUUACUCUAUGCGAUAUGGUCCUGGCUUUUUACUCGAGUGUUUACUCUUGAAGAUGAAAAGCACCUCGGAGUAUAAACAUUUGAGGAAUAGAAGCAUACUUCCUCUUCCACAUCCGAAUACAAUCCGUAAAUUGCUGAGUUCAACUCCCUCCAAGUUUGGUUAUAACGAAAUCGCACUCGAUUCAAUCAAACGAGAAUUUGACCGACAACAGCUGAGUGAAAAGUCAAGAAGAAGGUGGGGUACCUUGAUAUAAGAUGAGGUUAAGUUGAAGAAGGACCUUUCGUUUGACAAACA